GCGGGUGUAGUUUACUGGUAAAACGACUGGCUUCCAACCUGUAGUAGGGAGUUCGAUUCUUCUCACCCGCA
rnacentral:tRNA from 1 species